GAACGCUAGCUACAGGCUUAACACAUGCAAGUCGAGGGGCAGCAUUUUAGUUUGCUUGCAAACUGAAGAUGGCGACCGGCGCACGGGUGAGUAACACGUAUCCAACCUACCGAUAACUCCGGAAUAGCCUUUCGAAAGAAAGAUUAAUACCGGAUAGCAUACGAAUAUCGCAUGAUAUUUUUAUUAAAGAAUUUCGGUUAUCGAUGGGGAUGCGUUCCAUUAGUUUGUUGGCGGGGUAACGGCCCACCAAGACUACGAUGGAUAGGGGUUCUGAGAGGAAGGUCCCCCACAUUGGAACUGAGACACGGUCCAAACUCCUACGGGAGGCAGCAGUGAGGAAUAUUGGUCAAUGGGCGAGAGCCUGAACCAGCCAAGUAGCGUGAAGGAUGAAGGCUCUAUGGGUCGUAAACUUCUUUUAUAUGGGAAUAAAGUUUUCCACGUGUGGAAUUUUGUAUGUACCAUAUGAAUAAGGAUCGGCUAACUCCGUGCCAGCAGCCGCGGUAAUACGGAGGAUCCGAGCGUUAUCCGGAUUUAUUGGGUUUAAAGGGAGCGUAGGUGGAUUGUUAAGUCAGUUGUGAAAGUUUGCGGCUCAACCGUAAAAUUGCAGUUGAAACUGGCAGUCUUGAGUACAGUAGAGGUGGGCGGAAUUCGUGGUGUAGCGGUGAAAUGCUUAGAUAUCACGAAGAACUCCGAUUGCGAAGGCAGCUCACUAGACUGCCACUGACACUGAUGCUCGAAAGUGUGGGUAUCAAACAGGAUUAGAUACCCUGGUAGUCCACACAGUAAACGAUGAAUACUCGCUGUUUGCGAUAUACAGUAAGCGGCCAAGCGAAAGCAUUAAGUAUUCCACCUGGGGAGUACGCCGGCAACGGUGAAACUCAAAGGAAUUGACGGGGGCCCGCACAAGCGGAGGAACAUGUGGUUUAAUUCGAUGAUACGCGAGGAACCUUACCCGGGCUUAAAUUGCAACAGAAUAUAUUGGAAACAGUAUAGCCGUAAGGCUGUUGUGAAGGUGCUGCAUGGUUGUCGUCAGCUCGUGCCGUGAGGUGUCGGCUUAAGUGCCAUAACGAGCGCAACCCUUAUCUUUAGUUACUAACAGGUUAUGCUGAGGACUCUAGAGAGACUGCCGUCGUAAGAUGUGAGGAAGGUGGGGAUGACGUCAAAUCAGCACGGCCCUUACGUCCGGGGCUACACACGUGUUACAAUGGGGGGUACAGAAGGCGGCUACCUGGUGACAGGAUGCUAAUCCCAAAAACCUCUCUCAGUUCGGAUCGAAGUCUGCAACCCGACUUCGUGAAGCUGGAUUCGCUAGUAAUCGCGCAUCAGCCAUGGCGCGGUGAAUACGUUCCCGGGCCUUGUACACACCGCCCGUCAAGCCAUGAAAGCCGGGGGUACCUGAAGCACGUAACCGCAAGGAGCGUCCUAGGGUAAAACUGGUAAUUGGGG
rnacentral:rRNA from 1 species